UUAAUUGAAACCAAAAUGUAGAGGUUUAUCACUGUUAAUGAUAUAAAUGAAUUAAUUUCCAAUUAAA
rnacentral:tRNA from 1 species